GAUGAACGCUGGCGGCGUGCCUAAUACAUGCAAGUCGAACGCUGGAACUCUAGCUUGCUAGAUUGAAGGAGUGGCGAACGGGUGAGUAAUACAUAAGCAACCUACCCACGAAGACUGGGAUAAUCUCUGGAAACGGGGACUAAUACCGGAUAGGUAAUCGGAAGGCAUCUUCUGAUUAUUAAAGGUUAAAAACACUGGUGGAUGGGCUUAUGGCGCAUUAGUUAGUUGGUGAGGUAACGGCCCACCAAGACGAUGAUGCGUAGCCGGCCUGAGAGGGUGAACGGCCACAUUGGGACUGAGACACGGCCCAGACUCCUACGGGAGGCAGCAGUAGGGAAUUUUCGGCAAUGGGGGAAACCUUGACCGAGCAACGCCGCGUGAGUGAUGACGGCCUUCGGGUUGUAAAGCUCUGUUGUAAGGGAAGAACGGUAGAUAGAGAAUAUCUAAAUGACGGUACCUUACCAGAAAGCCACGGCUAACUACGUG
rnacentral:rRNA from 1 species